GCGAGUACACUCAAUCUAGUACUAAUAUCGUUUUAUACUAGGAAAACUAGUGCAAAAUUACGCAAUUCGUGUUGCUCCCCAAAAGUGCACUUAAAACGAGAUAAAUAUAUAUUCUGUGGAGACACAUUCACUAUAAUUCGGACGUUAAAGAGAGAGAAAACGAAGAUGCUGAGUGCAAAAAGUGCUAAAAACGCGAACAGAUCUAAACUGUAGGAAUGGAGAAAUUCUCCACGCAUGUGACUACUCGAUUGACUAAUUAAUCGAUGUUGUUAAGUUUGGCCGCCAUGUUCGUGUUUACAUAGUUCUAAAUAGACAGAUGUAAUUAUCGGUGACGAACGUAAAACGUUAGAACAUGAUUUGACACGCAACUAUUUGAUGCCAUCUGAUGACGAACUUACUCCAUUUGAAAGGAAAUACCGAGUUAUAUUAAUUACACAACGCACAAACGACAAUUCAAAAGCUAUCAAUCUUGCAAUUUAUAUAUAUAUAUAUAUACACAUAUUUCUGCACAGUUAUCAUUUACGAGAAAAAUGUGGUUGUAUUUUAUACUCGUCAUAUUCGGCAUUUUUGAUGUCGCAAUGGCUUCCAAUUUUGAUUUCGGUGACACUUUAGCAUUGAUUUUAGGGUUAACUAUAGCGAUUAUUGGAUUCUUCGCUUGUUUGGGGGCUUACGCACGAAGGCGAAGUAAUUUUGAAUCUUUGUGAUGCUUUACAAUCUGUUUAAAUAUAUCUAACACAUAAAGGAAGAUGAUGGCCAAAAGGAAUAAUUUCUGUAUGUGGAAAAGAGAAAAACAGUUCUAAAAAG